GUAGGGAAUAUUGGGCAAUGGAGGCAACUCUGACCCAGCCAUGCCGCGUGCAGGAUGACGGCCCUCUGGGUUGUAAACUGCUUUUAUACGGGAAGAAAAAUACUACGUGUAGUAUACUGACGGUACCGUAAGAAUAAGGAUCGGCUAACUCCGUGCCAGCAGCCGCGGUAAUACGGAGGAUCCAAGCGUUGUCCGGAUUUAUUGGGUUUAAAGGGUGCGUAGGCGGAUCUUUAAGUCAGUGGUGAAAGCCUGCAGCUUAACUGUAGAAUUGCCAUUGAAACUGAAGAUCUUGAAUGUGGUUAAAGUAGGCGGAAUGUAUCAUGUAGCGGUGAAAUGCUUAGAUAUGAUACAGAACACCGAUAGCGAAGGCAGCUUGCUGAACCAUUAUUGACGCUGAGGCACGAAAGCGUGGGGAGCGAACAGGAUUAGAUACCCUGGUAGUCC
rnacentral:rRNA from 1 species